CAAAAACCUCCUGCACUAAAACUGACACUGACACCAACACUCACUAUAACACUGUGAGACUUAUCUUAGUAUAUCAUAGUAUUAUCUUAUGUAUAUUAGUUUAGUUUUGCUUAGACAUGACAUCAUUUGAAAUUAAUUAUUUAUAUUUUAUUAAUGUCAGUUAAUUAAAUGCUGCAAAAUAUAUGAUGAUGGUAAAUUCCAGGAUGCGUCUGAAUGUGUUUUUGAAAGUGUUUUGCAUAUUAACUGAACGCUGCGCAUAAAACUCCACUGAUGAUUAUUAGUGUGUGACACUGACACACACACACAGAAGAAACUAUGAUUUCUCUUAUUCUAACUCUGGGCACAUUCUGUCUGCUUGCUCAAGUGUCUCAUGAAGAGGUUCAGUCUCCUGAGUCUCUGUCUGUUAAAGCAGGAGAAUCUGUCUCUAUCAGCUGCACUGGGACCAGCGGAGUUGAUGAUGACAUGAGCUGGUAUCUGCAGAAAACUGGAGAAGCUCCUAAACUCCUGAUCUACACAGCCAGUCGACGUCAGUCUGGAGUCUCAGAUCGAUUCAGUGGAACUUAUUCUGGAUAUGUAUUUACACUGAACAUACGUGGAGUCCAGUCUGAGGAUGCAGGAGAUUAUUACUGUAUGGGGGCUUAUAGGGGUGGAGUGUUCACACGGUGAAACAGCAUCGUACAAAAACCUCCCUCAGUCUGACACAUUGAAAAUAUGUGAAUGCUGAGUUCACAAUAUCAAUAUGAUAAAUACUCUUACUCCCUAGUUAGUUCAGUAUGAAUUAAGUUUUAAUAAACAUACUGGAUUGUUUGUAACCAAACAUUUAUCCUUUUAAUUGUUUUAAUCCUGAAGACAAUAACACAAAACUAUACAUUUCAAACUAUGUGCCAUAAUUUUUACCAUUUUAAACAACAGUCGGUAAGAUUUUAAUUAUUCAGUCUGUUCAUGAAAUCAUAAUUGUCAUUAUUUCAGCUGAAAAGAAUAUAAAUGAAGAAAAGCUAGCCUUAUGUCACUUAUCUCCAAUCAUCUUUGUCUCAAUUGUCAAGAUUCAAAAGCAGAUUCAGAGGCUGGAAUAACUGUUUAAAUGCAGCACGAGCAUCAGUGGAGUCCAGCCUGAAGAUUCAGGAGUUUAUAACUGUCAGAGUCAAUAUAAGGAAGUCUCUGGGACCAAGGACUGUGUUAAAUCAUCAUAUAAAGAUCUCACUGGAUGAAACAGCAGCACUGCAGCUUUGAGCUUCUGCAGAUGUUGAUGCUGUCAGUCAUUAUUCACUGACACAGAUAUAGCUGAUGCUGAUGUUUAAUUCCAUCCAUGUCACUGAUUAAAGCAUCUAAACCAAUGAAAGGAAAAUACAAUAAAUUAAAUACUAUGGUAAAAGAGAGAAAUAACAUUAAAUAAGGACAAAAUAACAAUACACAAUUAAUGAUUUCAAAGAGCUUUUAUUUAAAAUAACAUGCUUUUAUAAAAAAAUUAUCUUACUGAACUUGUUAAAGCAGGCUUAAAGAAAGAUUAACAUAA